UACGGGAGGGGGCUAGCGUUGUUCGGAAUUACUGGGCGUAAAGCGCGUGUAGGCGGCUAUGCAAGUCGGAUGUGAAAAGCCCCUCGGCUCAACCGGGGAAGUGACACCCGAAACUGCAAGCUAGAGUCUCGGAGAGGAUCGUGGAAUUCUCGGUGUAGAGGUGAAAUUCGUAGAUAUCGAGAGGAACGACCAGUGGCGAAAGGCGGCUCA
rnacentral:rRNA from 1 species